ACUCAAAGGAAUAGACGGGGGCCCGCACAAGCAGCGGAGCGUGUGGUUUAAUUCGAUGCAACGCGAAGAACCUUACCCAGGCUUGACAUGUGGUGGCAAGCCGCGGAAACGCGGCCCUCUUCGGACCGCCGCACAGAUGUUGCAUGGCUGUCGUCAGCUCGUGUCGUGAGAUGUUGGGUUAAGUCCCGCAACGAGCGCAACCCUCGUGGACUGUUGCCAAUCAGGCCAGACUGCCGGUACAAGCCGGAGGAAGGUGGGGAUGACGUCAAGUCCGCAUGGCUCUUACGUCUGGGGCUACACACACGCUACAAUGGGCAGGACAAUGCGAAGCCACGGGGCGACCCGGAGCGGAUCGCAAAACCUGGUCACAGUUCGGAUGGCAGGCUGCAACUCGCCUGCCUGAAGUCGGAGUUGCUAGUAACCGCGUGUCAGCAUAGCGCGGUGAAUAUGUUCCCGGGCCUUGCACACACCGCCCGU
rnacentral:rRNA from 1 species